rnacentral:lncRNA from 1 species
AAUACAAGCCAAUAACUUAGAUACAAUAAAAUGCGGAAACGUUCAAACUUAAUAAUAGUCAUCCAUUCUCCAAACCACACGUCGGUAUACAAAAUACAUUUCGUCCAAAGGUUACAUUUCCAUACCAAAAGCACAAUCCCAAAAUCAAAGGCAUAACCAAAAGUAAUAGCAAACCCUAAAACGAAAAUACAUCAGGAGGGCUUUUCCAUUUU